AGUGGGGAACGGUGCUCCUUCCCGGCCCUGCAGCAGGGGGCGCCGCUCAUCCCCCGGAGGCGACAAGAACGCGUUACAAGCUGGACUAGGGCACAUUUUAAAGCGGCGUCUCCAAGAUGGGUGAUCCAGGAUGCGCGGUUUCACCGUCUGCCGGUUACAGUGCAAGCUCUCCACAAGCGUUUAAAGUCAAGAUAUGCUGUCGUCGAGGCCGCUGCCUGCUGGGCUGGAGGAAAGGUCAAUUUGCAGGGUCGUUUCCCUUAAUCACACCUCAGAAUGGGGGACAGCUUUGCCUCGGAGUCCCGAGCGCGCGUGAAAGUGCAGGGGAGCUCGGCGCCUCCUCGGAUGUUAGGGCUGGGAGCAGAGGCCAGUGAGGCUAGAGAGGGAAGGUGACCGCCAGAGUGUCACCCAGCGACCGAUGACAAAGCUCGGGCAAGAAGCCGCGCGUCCUGAUCCCCAGGUCAGCGCCCCUCCAGCAGGCUGCACCCUCAUCUUCGUCGAACCGUUCCUAUCGCUUCUUACCACUCUGUGUGUCGGAAAGACUGCCCUACGCAGCUUCGCCGCGGUCCUCGCCCGCUGAUUAGAUAAGGGACACUGCGAUGGCUGCCUGCCCACACCGGGGACUGGAGGGGCCUUGGGAAUCCCUUGGCAGCACGGAUUUGGGGUGCUCAGUUGGAGGCUGCUUACACUGUGGUUCUGGCCUUUGCCCGAGAAACCUGUGGGCAGAAGGAAAGCCCGAGGCUUCAGCUGGCCCCAGGGAGGGAUGGAGCGCAAAGGACACCGCUCCUACUGCUUCCCUGUAGGAAGUAGCUGAGAGGGCGUCCCAAGCUUCGGAGACGGAUACUCUCAGGCACUCAGGGACAAGUGCUGCUGUCUUGCCGGGAAACCUCUACUGUCGCACGCACGCAGCGCAUCCUGGUCUAUCCAGGACAGGGAUCGGAGACAGAUGAGGUCGCCUGCAGCCUGGGCCCUGCAACUCAGGAAAGCCGUCAGCUUUGCAACCACGGCACAGGGGGGAAAAGCCAGGCUGCCAGUGAGUGUCCAGAGGGGCUGCGGGCCUGGAGGGUUGUGUGUGUCGGGGAGAGUGUGUUGUGCGGAUGCUGCGGGAGCUGUGCGCUCUGCCACGGCCUACGUGUGUCACCACAAGCCAAAGCGCCCCCCUUGCCUUGGCUCCUCAGAUGUCUUGCUUCUGUCCUUUCUCUCUCAUUCUCCAGAAACUCUACUGACUUCCUCUGAGCACCAAGAAGCAAGCAAACAAAAGCCAUUGUGAAAUCUCUCAGCCAGGCAUUUAAGGCUGAAGAUCCCCUGCCGACCCAGUGCAGUGAUUCACACUACAUUCUCUGCUUUCUCCGCAUCUGAUCUUCCAUGACUGAAAACUUUUCCUAGCCCCACCUCAGACGCUGCCUCUUCCAGCAAGCCUCUUAUGAUUUCCCUGCUCAAACACUUCUGCCUCUGAAUGCUGGAGUACUUUUUCACCUGCUUUCCGGCGUUAUAUCCUGUCCUGCAUCUUAACUACUGAGGGGGAUGCUGUUUGUCUCCCCCUACCAAAUGGUAAAGUCUUUGCAAGCUUA